rnacentral:rRNA from 1 species
UUCUUACAGAUAAAAUUUUAAGUAUCUUCUGCUCAAUGAAUUUAAAUAGCUGCAUUUUGCACUAAGGUAGCAUAAUAAAUUGUUUUUUGAUUGAAAACUAGAAUGAAGGAAGGAAUGGAGAAAAUUUUUCUUGAUAUUGAUAAAUUGAAUUUAAAUUUUUAGUAAAAAUGCUAAAAUUAAAUUUAGGGACAAUAAGACCCUAUGAAGCUUUAUAUUUUGGUAAUUGGAGAUUUUAUUAUGUUGGGGCAACAUCCUAAGAGUAAAGUUUAGGAAGAUGUUAAAUUUAUAAGUUAUUAUAUAGAGCCAUAAUUUAUGAUUA